rnacentral:rRNA from 1 species
AAGCGGUGGAGACAUGUGGUUUAAUUCGAAGCAACGCGAAGAACCUUACCAAAUCUUGACAUCCCUCUGACCGGCGAGUAAUGUCGCCUUUCCUUCGGGACAGAGGAGACAGGUGGUGCAUGGUUGUCGUCAGCUCGUGUCGUGAGAUGUUGGGUUAAGUCCCGCAACGAGCGCAACCCUUAUCCUAAGUAGCCAGCAGUUCGGCUGGGCACUCUUGGGAGACUGCAGGGAUAACCUGGA